rnacentral:lncRNA from 1 species
CAAAAAUGCCAAUGCCCACCUCUUUUUAUUUUAAGCUGUUUUGUAGUUAAAUAGAGCUGUGUUUGUUAUUUCAUGCCACAAAAUGAAAUAGACUGAUGUGUUUUUUGUUGGUUUUGUAACCUCCCAAAUGUAUAGCAAAUACUCUCAACAAAUAGCAAGGAGUACUUGUUAAUGGAAGAGUUAAUUACAGGACACACUCGGGCUGGCUCACAGAUUUUGGCUACCUUUUUCUAGAGGAGCCAGAGGAGCUGAUGUGCCCGAGUGUGCUUUGGGUUGAGGAGCGAGGAGAGCAUCUGGAUGUGCCACCAGCCCGAGCUGCAGGCUUGGGAUUUUGCUGCCCAUUGACUUUGGUGGCUUCCCUGAAUCACCUUCCCAUUUUUCUUGAGUACUUGGAUCCAAGGAGCAGGCUGACCACGAGGAGCACUCGUGCCAAGGCAGAUGUGUGGUGCUGCUGAUCAUGCCAGGAGUCUGGGGCUGUUUGUUAAUUGAUGGCAACCAAUUAUUAUACCAGGGGAGCCCGGAGAUAAAUAUUUUUGGUUUCAAAGCUUCACUUUAUUUAAGACUCUAUAAAUACAUUCUCAUGAAGUAUUUAUACACCCUAACCCAGCUCAGAGGAAGAAACAGAAGUAAUGGUAAGACAAAGGAAGAAGUAGAAUGCACGUUCAUCCACUCCACGUGUCGUCUUGUCUGAAAGCCUCUUGGUCAACUAAAGCCGUAAGAGCUGGCUUUUCAGCCAGACAAGACAUGCGAGUGUUCUAAAAAUGCCCUGCUGCCAUAUCCACGAGUUCAACAACAUCAGCGCUAGCAACACUGACAGCCCUGCUGAAGGAGGCCUCCAGCACUUCUCAGGCCGUUGAUUCGUCACCGAGCAAAACUGAUGGAGUGACAGAGACAGGCAGAAAGGAGCUAGCAGGUUAUCUGGGUUGGGGUUUCCAGUGCUGGAGCAGCUGGGGUCUGAGCCUGUGUUGUCAGUAGAAAAAUUAGAGUGUUUGUAAACAAGUCUGCUGCAGUGAUUGUGGCGCAUAAAUGCAGCGGACCCACGUUGCUGCAAGCAAGUUCAGUCCCUUGAACUCACAGAAAGUGUUUGGAAAUCAGCAGCAAAGGGCAUUCUGAAUUUUUUCCUUUUCAAGAACAACACUUGCUGCAAUCAGGUAGAAAAUAAACAUCCUUUGAUGCGGUAAUUGUGGCCAUGUGUUCCCCUUGGAAAUUACAGGGAUUUUAUU